GGGAGGCCCCAGGAACUACUGGGAGGAAACAUGUGGCAGGGGCCUCCGGGACCACCAGGUCCUCCUGGCCCUCCUGGGCCACAGGGCUUCGUCGGCAUCCCAGGGCCCCAGGGUAUCCCUGGCAACGACGGUGUAACAGGGCAGCCGGGUCUGCCUGGGAAAACUGUAAGUAAACAGACAGUAAGGGGGAGUCACUUCCAUUUAAAUUCAGACACUUCAGAAAGUGGAAAAAAUKAUGCUCAUUGUCAAUGAAUAUCAAUGACACUUUCUGAUUCUAGAAUUCAUUAGCUGAAUUGUCUAAAUUGAAAUGGAUUUGACCCCAACCCAUACAUUAGGAGGCGGAGCUG